GCUUCCUUAGCUCAGUCGGUAGAGCGCGAGUCUCAUACAUUUGAGCGAUGUUGCAUUGUUCGAUCUCGAGGUCGCAAGUUCGAGCCUUGCAGGGAGCA